rnacentral:rRNA from 1 species
UACGGGGGGGAGCAAGCGUUGUUCGGAUUUACUGGGCGUAAAGGGCGCGUAGGCGGCGCAACAAGUCACUUGUGAAAUCUCCGGGCUUAACUCGGAGCGGCCAAGUGAUACUGUCGUGCUAGAGUGCGAAGGGGCAACUGGAAUUCUCGGUGUAGCGGUGAAAUGCGUAGAUAUCGAGAGGAACACCUGCGGCGAAGGCGGGUUGCUGGGCUGAUACUGACGCUGAGGCGCGAAAGCCAGGGGAGCGAACGGG